GAGGGGGAAGCACAAAUGUGCGAUUGACUUGAAAUCAAUAGGUGGUGGCUAAAAUCCGCCUCUUCUCG
rnacentral:tRNA from 1 species